rnacentral:tRNA from 1 species
AGGAAGUUAAAUGAUUGAUUUGCAUUCAAUUUUUAUGUUUAUAACAUACUUG